UAGGGAAUCUUCCGCAAAGGGCGAAAGCCUGACGGAGCAACGCCGCGUGAGUGAUGAAGGUCUUCGGAUCGUAAAACUCUGUUAUUAGGGAAGAACAAAUGUGUAAGUAACUAUGCACGUCUUGACGGUACCUAAUCAGAAAGCCACGGCUAACUACGUGCCAGCAGCCGCGGUAAUACGUAGGUGGCAAGCGUUAUCCGGAAUUAUUGGGCGUAAAGCGCGCGUAGGCGGUUUUUUAAGUCUGAUGUGAAAGCCCACGGCUCAACCGUGGAGGGUCAUUGGAAACUGGAAAACGUGAGUGCAGAAGAGGAAAGUGGAAUUCCAUGUGUAGCGGUGAAAUGCGCAGAGAUAUGGAGGAACACCAGUGGCGAAGGCGACUUUCUGGUCUGUAACUGACGCUGAUGUGCGAAAGCGUGGGGAUCAAACAGG
rnacentral:rRNA from 1 species